UUAAUUUGAGGAUAGAAAAGUCAGCUAUCACCCUAGUUUAGGAGAUACAGGAGUGGCGACCUGUCUUAUUAA
rnacentral:ncRNA from 1 species